CAGUCGUGCUGGCGCGAAAUCAACCUUCUCGUCUUGAGAUCACAUGGCGUGGCGAGCCUCAAAACCGUCACGAAGCGUGAACUCUUGGUGAAAUGGAGCACUUUCGUGUCCGCUGGUUAACAUCAAUUUCGAACGUCAUAAAAAGGCUGGAGGGAUGUGGCUCCUUCGGGAGUGUUAUAACCUUUAGCGGAAUGUGGUGUUCGGGAUUGAGGAUUGCAACGAAUACCUUUAGGGCUGUUCCACCUGGCUUCUCUUUGGUAUCCUGGUGACGACAGCUUGCUGACGUCGUUAGGAUUCGCCUUUGAACAGGCUAGAGUGUGAGCAAAUUCGUUAAGGAUGUUGACGUA
rnacentral:rRNA from 1 species